CUGAACAUCGAAACCAGGAACAGCAUUCACAUGUAUAAUGUAGGUCAAUUAGGCGCCACACUCGACGGAUGCUGCUUUAUAAGCCGUACACUAAAGGCCACAGCUUCCAAUCAUGACAUGCAUGAUGCAAAGCAGCGUUGCAGCAUCGCAGGCAUGAAUCGUGGACGUGGUGACGGGGUCUGAUGUGCUUUAAACUCAGGUGGUCUCCACUUUGAUGCGGACAUGAGCUGGAACACCAUGGUCGACCACGUCGCACGGGGCGUCGCGUCGAAAGUUGGCGUGCUCAGACGAUACGCUACGUUCCUGCCUUUUCAAUGUCGCAUAGCCUAUUUUCGUUCUUUCAUUUUAUCACACUUUAUGUAUGCCUCUUCUGCUUACUUACCAUUUCUCACGGCAUAUCAAAGUCGACGGCUUAAUGGGCUCUUCAAGCGUGCUGUACGUACAGUCUGUCGGGUACCUCCCGGGACACCCACAAGCAAUAUUCUUACACGCAUGAACAUCCAAACAUUGACCACAUACGCCAACAUGCACCUUCUGGUAUUUAUCUGGCGUUGUCUCCAUGACUCCUCUAACAUCAGCAUGUUGUUCGCUAACUUUUUCAGCCGCAGUAAUUCCACUCGAACUCGUGGUGGGCACAGCAAUUUACUGAUUGUCCCAGCCAGCCCAACUGCAUAUCUUGCCAAACGUGUUACCUAUGCUGGGACCAUCUUAUGGAACCAGCUCCCCGCUGCGGUCAGGCAAGAAAGAAAACGCAAUCGCUUUAAGUCAAUGGC